rnacentral:miRNA from 12 species
ACCCUAACUGAGGGCAUUUAUU